rnacentral:rRNA from 1 species
GAUGAACGCUGGCGGCGUGCCUAAUACAUGAAAGUCGAGCGAACAGAUGAGGAGCUUGCUCCUCUGACGUUAGCGGCGGACGGGUGAGUAACACGUGGAUAACCUACCUAUAAGACUGGGAUAACUUCGGGAAACCGGAGCUAAUACCGGAUAAUAUAUUGAACCGCAUGGUUCAAUAUUGAAAGACGGUUUUGCUGUCACUUAUAGUUGGAUCCGCGCCGCAUUAGCUAGUUGGUAAGGUAACGGCUUACCAAGGCAACGAUGCGUAGCCGACCUGAGAGGGUGAUCGGCCACACUGGAACUGAGACACGGUCCAGACUCCUACGGGAGGCAGCAGUAGGGAAUCUUCCGCAAUGGGCGAAAGCCUGACGGAGCAACGCCGCGUGAGUGAUGAAGGUCUUCGGAUCGUAAAACUCUGUUAUUAGGGAAGAACAAAUGUGUAAGUAACUAUGCACGUCUUGACGGUACCUAAUCAGAAAGCCACGGCUAACUACGUG